rnacentral:lncRNA from 1 species
CUGAAUUCCCACCCCAAUCGCCCAAGGUUGAGAAAGGUGAGGUUCAGGGAAGUGGAGUGACCGAGCCCUGGGGUGAGCCCACGCACGCGUCAACUCUCUGGCCUCAAACCCGGGGCCGGGCCAGCUGGGGCUCAGAGGACCGCUGGCUCCAGUCUGGACGCAGCCUCUCAGGACACGCAGGGGACGCGCUAACUGCCCGGGCCUCAGUUUCCUCCCCUGGAAAGUGGGGAGAAUCGUAUCUGAGCGCUCCUGCAUUUUGCAUACUCUUAGGAACCCCCGCUCUGUCGUGGGCGGACCCAACCGUGCCCGGGGCUGAGGGCAAGCAAGGGCAGAAGGCGGCAGACGCCGGAGCCCAGCGCCGGUCUGAACCCCAACUCCACCCCUGCCGGCUGUGUGACCCUGGGCGAGGCACCUGCCCUCUCUGUGCUUUGGGUUUCCUCUUCCGUGAACGAGAGAACGCCUGGGGAUGAGGCACGCGACUCUCUGUUGGCUGCCUACAACGGAGCCUGUUACCGGAUGUCCGGGCCACAGGAGCAGGGGCUCCCUGCUUUGCUCCCUGUGCCCUGCGUCCCAGAACAGCAGUCAGAGAACGGGCAGAUGCAGGGUGGAGGUGGCCAGCCCGAGCGGGGCUGUGAUGGAGGGAAGCAUGGGGAAGGGCUCAGGAGGGCUCCCUGGAGGAGGUGAGGCUGGGUUGAGUCUGCCUGGCUGUGCAAUUCAGAAACGGGGUGUUGCAACGACCAGCAUUAGCGUGGGCUCCGCAAGGACAUCCUACCUCCCUGCUAAUUGCAUGAAGCUUUAAAGAGGCGAUCGCAGAGGGCAGAGGCCCAGGUGGUGCACUGUUGUGCCCCGGGAACCAGCAGGUGCCCAGUCCACGAAGGCCUUCGUGCAACCAGCAGUAACCGGAUGCUUGUCGUAUGCACAGGGGGCUCAGAGACCCCGAGGAGAACCACGGAGCCGUGGCCCAGGCCACAUCCACAGACAGCACGUCCGUGGGACGGAAGCAGAUGCAUGGCACGGAUGGGUGAGAGGCAGGGAGCGGGGGUUGGGUAGGAACGGCCCCCACAGGAGGAGCUGCAGGGAGCACAUCGAGGGAACAGUGUUGGAGGUAGAGGGAACAGCCUACGCAAAGGCUCCGAGCGGGAGGCCCCGCUGCCCCUCUGUCCUCAGGGGGGCCUGAUGGGACUGUGGGUGGACAGUGCUUGGCCCUUCACACAGCGACUUCAGCAGGGAGGGCCAGAGCUCCUUUAAGCCGAAAUUGGCCAGCACAGCUGUUCGCGUUGUUCGCUCUCCGACAGCAGCCUGGCCAGCACGCCACUGAAGCCCCACUUGGUUGUUUUGGGUUUGAUUUGUGUUUUUCUUUUUAAGGAAAAAC